AUACGGAGGGUCCAAGCGUUAUCCGGAUUCAUUGGGUUUAAAGGGUCCGCAGGCGGGAAAAUAAGUCAGUGGUGAAAGCCUACGGCUCAACUGUAGAACUGCCAUUGAAACUGUUUUUCUUGAGUAUAGAUGAAGUGGGCGGAAUAUAUCAUGUAGCGGUGAAAUGCAUAGAUAUGAUAUAGAACACCGAUUGCGAAGGCGGCUCACUAAACUAUUACUGACGCUCAGGGACGAAAGCGUGGGGAGCAAACAGGAUUAGAAACCACAGUAGUCC
rnacentral:rRNA from 1 species